UCACAACAACUGUGUGGAGGUA
rnacentral:piRNA from 2 species